UACGGAGGAUGCAAGCGUUGUCCGGAAUCAUUGGGCGUAAAGGGUCCUGAGGUGGUUUGCUCAGUCCACUGUGAAAGUUCAGGGCUUACCCUUGAAAAUGCGGUGGAAACUAGUAGGCUAGAGUACGGUGGGGGCAGAGGGAAUUCCCGAUGUAGCGGUGAAAUGCAUAGAUAUCGGGAAGAACACCGACGGCGAAGGCACUCUGCUGGGCCGACACUGACACUGAAAGACGAAAGCCAGGGGAGCGAAUGGG
rnacentral:rRNA from 1 species